rnacentral:lncRNA from 1 species
CGCCUGCGCUGGUUGGAGGCAGUGCUUCGCAGUGAGCUGCGACAAGACUGCCAGACCCUCAGCUGCAGCGGCUAAGGCUGGUGAGGAUCGCGAAGCGGGUGGACUUUUCCUGAAAGAGGGUGCAGCGGAGACCCUCGCUCCUUCCCUCGGCCACUGCACGUGGAUUCGCGUUUUCUUCCCUUCCAGGCUCUUGCGUUCAAGGUUUCCCGUUUGUUAACUCAAAUACAGCCAGUCAGUGCAAACCAAAAUAAGGUAAGAAAU